UGGGGAAUAUUGCACAAUGGGCGCAAGCCUGAUGCAGCGACGCCGCGUGAGGGAUGACGGCCUUCGGGUUGUAAACCUCUUUCAGCAGGGACGAAGCGCAAGUGACGGUACCUGCAGAAGAAGCACCGGCCAACUACGUGCCAGCAGCCGCGGUAAUACGUAGGGUGCGAGCGUUGUCCGGAAUUACUGGGCGUAAAGAGCUCGUAGGCGGUUUGUCGCGUCGUCUGUGAAAUUCUGCAGCUUAACUGCAGGCGUGCAGGCGAUACGGGCAGACUUGAGUACUACAGGGGAGACUGGAAUUCCUGGUGUAGCGGUGAAAUGCGCAGAUAUCAGGAGGAACACCGGUGGCGAAGGCGGGUCUCUGGGUAGUAACUGACGCUGAGGAGCGAAAGCGUGGGUAGCGAACAGGAUUAGAUACCCUGGUAGUCCACGCCGUAAACGGUGGGUACUAGGUGUGGGUUCCAUUUCACGGGAUCCGUGCCGUAGCUAACGCAUUAAGUACCCGCCUGGGGAGUACGGCCGCAAGGC
rnacentral:rRNA from 1 species